rnacentral:lncRNA from 1 species
CUCAGAUUUUAUUUUUUUUAAAAAAGGCUCCAAUACAAGGCCCCAGAGUAGUGCAUGCAAAUCAACGACCCUCAAAGUGACAGUCAUUGUCAGAUAACAAGCACAAUCUGCUACAGUCUGUGACCUGGUAAAGAGACCACCUUUUCAUUUUGAGUCCCAUCACCAACUAUGCCAAUGUCCAACCUACCACACAGCUCACAAUGACUCAGAGGUACAUUUUAGUAUCUGAACAGCAAAGACAUAUUGAGCUGCAAGUACAAUGAGUAAGUAUCCUUAGUGUAUUAGACAGGGUAAAUACAAACAAGGCAUAAAAGGGAAAAGCCAACUUCAUCUGAUGCCUGAAUCCCUAAGUCUCUUCCAUCUUUUCUCAUGAUCUGUGUUUAGGGAGAUCUGCUAUGCCAUAUCAAGACCUUGCUCAUCUGGUGAUAAGACGGGGCUGUUUGCCUUGGAAGACUAAAGAAAGGGUGAAUAUUCACAUGAGCUGUUCCCGCUGCAGGUCCUCCUCCUCAGCCUGCCUCCGGGACAGCUCGAUGGCCUUCUCUGUCUGCUGCUGGUCAUACUCGUCCUGCAGCUGCCGCAGGUUCUCCUGCAGAGUGCGCACUUCAUCCAGGCGGCCCGCGGCCUUGGCCUGCCUGAUGAAUGAUGUGAUGUUGUGGAUCUGCUGGAGGAGCGGGUCUGAGUCCUCACUCUGCCCCUGACCUCCUGACAGUGGGAGCCAGCCCUCAGCCUUUCUCAAGGGGGCAGGGCCCCUGCGGAGAGAUGCCACCUCCCCGUUGGCCGCUCGAGAAGCCAGGCCACUCUGCCUUUCCUCAAGCCUUCGCUGGGACUCCAGGGCAGCCUGGGGAGAGAGCAAAGCAGAGAGAAGAAACAGUCACCAUGCUGGCAGCAGCCCACACUGUCACCCACCCUCUGUUGUCCCUCUAUCCCUGUGCCAGUGACACUCCAAUUUCUCACCUCAGGACAAAGUUAUCCAACUGCUAAAAUCAAGUCAUGUUUUUGUGUAUAUGUGGGCUGAAGGGAGAGCCUGAUUUUCAAAAAUAAAAUAUAAUGAAUAAGUUAGGGCAUCAGAUUUUCUCAAUCUUAGAUUCACAGGCCGUAUACUUUUCUUAAACCUCUAAGGUCUGUUCCCC